ACUUUCAACAAUGGAUCUCUUGGUUCUGGCAUCGAUGAAGAACGCAGCGAAAUGCGAUAAGUAGUGUGAAUUGCAGACUUUAGUGAAUCAUCGAAUCUUUGAACGCACAUUGCGCCCCUUGGUAUUCCAUUGGGCAUGCCUGUUCGAGCGUCAUUUCAC
rnacentral:rRNA from 1 species